GGGAACGGGCUGGACAAAAUGUAUAGCGGGGAAAGAAGACCCUAUUGAGCUUGACUCUAGUUUGUAUUUGUGACGUGAUAUUAAGGGUGUAGCAUAAGUGGGAGAACCGUUAAAAAGUUCAAUCUUGAAAUACCACUACCGUAAUCAUUGCUUUACUAAGGAGAUAAUAGUCAAAAUAAAUAAAUUUUCAUUUGUAAAAUUUGUUUAUAUUAAAAAGAAUUUUAAUAAUUUUUGAAAUGAAAGAUAAUA
rnacentral:rRNA from 1 species